UACAGAGGUCUCAAGCGUUGUUCGGAUUCAUUGGGCGUAAAGGGUGCGUAGGUGGCGUCGUAAGUCAGGUGUGAAAUCUCGGGGCUCAACCCCGAAACUGCACUUGAUACUGCGAUGCUCGAGUACUGGAGAGGAGAUUGGAAUUUACGGUGUAGCGGUGAAAUGCGUAGAUAUUGGGAGGAACACCGGUGGCGAAGGCGGCCACCUGGGCCGGUUCUGACGCUGAGGCGCGAAAGCGUGGGGAGCAAACAGG
rnacentral:rRNA from 1 species